rnacentral:rRNA from 1 species
AGUGAACGCUGGCGGUAGGCCUAACACAUGCAAGUCGAACGGCAGCACAGUAAGAGCUUGCUCUUACGGGUGGCGAGUGGCGGACGGGUGAGGAAUACAUCGGAAUCUACUUUUUCGUGGGGGAUAACGUAGGGAAACUUACGCUAAUACCGCAUACGACCUACGGUUGAAAGCAGGGGAUCUUCGGACCUUGCGCGAUUGAAUGAGCCGAUGUCGGAUUAGCUAGUUGGCGGGGUAAAGGCCCACCAAGGCGACGAUCCGUAGCUGGUCUGAGAGGAUGAUCAGCCACACUGGAACUGAGACACGGUCCAGACUCCUACGGGAGGCAGCAGUGGGGAAUAUUGGACAAUGGGCGCAAGCCUGAUCCAGCCAUACCGCGUGGGUGAAGAAGGCCUUCGGGUUGUAAAGCCCUUUUGUUGGGAAAGAAAAGCAGCAGGUUAAUACCACGCUGUUCUGACGGUACCCAAAGAAUAAGCACCGGCUAACUUCGUG